GUUGAAACACCAGAUCCCGUACGAUUACCGAAAUUAAGCAACGUUGAGCCUGGUCAGUAGCUAGAUGGGUUACCAAUUUGGAAUAACUGGCGCUGUAAG